rnacentral:rRNA from 1 species
AGACAGGUGCUGCAUGGCUGUCGUCAGCUCGUGUCGUGAGAUGUUGGGUUAAGUCCCGCAACGAGCGCAACCCUUGCCUUUAGUUGCCAGCAGUUCGGCUGGGCGCUCUAAAGGGACUGCCGGUGUUAAACCGGAGGAAGGUGGGGAUGACGUCAAGUCCUCAUGGCCUUUAUGACCAGGGCUACACACGUACUACAAUGGCCGAUACAAAGGGCAGCGACACUGCGAGGUGAAGCCAAUCCCGUAAAAUCGGUCUCAGUCCGGAUUGGAGUCUGCAACUCGACUCCAUGAAGUUGGAAUCGCUAGUAAUCGUGGAUCAGCAUGCCACGGUGAAUACGUUCCCGGGCCUU